AGGCAUGGAAGACUGGGUGAAGAGCCCUAUGGAGUAAGGGGUUGGGAACGCCCCAACAUUAUUGAGGACGAUGGCGAACGGGAUUGUUUGAAGGUGAAGGCGGUGAGGAGGCAGCUAAUUCCCAUCAACAUCAGGCGGUCAUUCUUCAGGGAUGACAGGGAGCCAUGGUUGAUCAAAGAGUUGUCUUGCUCUAAACCGGGAUUGGAUGGUAUUUUAUUGCGCUUAUCUUUG